rnacentral:lncRNA from 1 species
UCUAACCCAAAAGAGGCUCUGACGCCAAAAGAUCAGCUGACAUUCAUAUUUCUGUGUGAAAGAAAAGGACUAUGGAGAAGGUAUUUCGACAAACCAGAAGGUAUGGAUUCCUGCCCUCCACCUUGAUUCUGGGUCACUUCUCAACACUACCUUGAGUCUCCAGCCGUACCACUUUGAUUGUGACAGAUAUCAAUGAAGAUUCCUCCUUUUAAAAAAAAAAAAUAGCCACCUCCACUUGCACACCAACUGGUAGUCUAGAGACACUACCUCUCUUUAGGUAUCCCUAAGUGUGGUAUCUGGAAACACAGGAGUUGGCUCAGUGAAUCCCAGACUCUAUUUACCUAUUUAUGCUUUUUGUUUCUAUACUUCAGUACUGGAUAGCUUGUCGAUGGCAGAGAGAAUUGGCCUUUACACCACAGGCCAAGUACAACAUGGACACAGGAGAUGAAACCAAUUGGUCCUCUCAAGAGUUUUGACCCCCCUCCUAUAGGAUGCAAAACUUGAUAUGGUCAGAGUUCCUGGGUUUGAUGAUUUUUAGCAUGUUUAAACAUGUCUAAAGAACAGGACCCUGCCUCAAAAAACAAAAAAACAAAACAAAAUAAAAAAGAGCAGGAAAAGCCCACCCAGUGGAAAUGACUAUGGAUUUUAGAGCUUUAGGCUACUCAGAACUGUGACCAAAGCUGACUUUUCACACUGAGGAGACCAAACAGGUGCCAACACUCCAGGCUGCAGGCAGGAAGCUUAGGGGCAGAACCUCUCUGCCUUGAAGGGUUUGUGAAAAUGCUGUGCUGGGUUUUUCUGGGCCAUGAGGAAUGAAAGUGAAGAUAGGUGAAGGACAGCCCCUUCCAUGUCUUAUAACCAGAAAUCACUUUCCCCAGGGUUGCAUAACCACUUACUUCCAGCAAGUGAGAUGUGGGGCCCCCCUUGCAUGUCCUCCAAAACCAGUGCCCAUCCCUUCUCACACUCUGACAACUUCCCUUUCCCUUAACCACAUUCCAGACCAAACACUGUUCAGUUUGUUUCCAAAAUUAAAAACCAAUGUAUAUAUCUGUAUGUACUCCACUGCUCUGUAGGGGGUUUCCUGGUCCUAGGGUGGGGCUGCAGGCAGAAAAGGUAUUCCAAUCCUUUGGUUUUCAGAAUUGAACGUUUUGAAGUGAUUUGCUUGGUUGGUUGGGGUUUUUUUAAUUUUGUUUUUCAAGCUAAGCUGGGAAAGUAGAUUUUGAAAGGCAAACUUCCUUCCUGGAAACUCCACAAACAUUUCUGUGCGGAAGAGUUAGUUUGAAAUCUUCAACUCUGGGAGGUAGGCAAGUCUAAAAGACAAGGAAGAAGAGGAAAAGCCACAUCCCAUCUACCAGGUCCCUUCUUGGUGGUCUCAAUGCAUGAACGUCUGUCUGCAGCUCUGGUGUGUGCACAGGAACCUAGCCCCACUGUGAAGACAGCCCUGCAUGCUGGCCACAGCCUGGCCUGCCUUCUCCCAGCAGAAUCUUCAUAAUCAUCAGGGAGGCCUUCGCCCUGCGCAGACUUCCCUGUGAACUCCAGUGGGAGCAGCUCAGCUUGUGGCUUUAUGGGUUCUACUUCUGCAAACCCAAAGGCUGUGCAUUUGGAAGCCAAAUAUUCAGUUCAGCAUGUGGCUGCCAAGUCUGGUUUUGUGGACAAAGCAAACUGUGCAAUGGCUUCUCUGUGUCUGUAUUUUUCUAAGCCAAAGGGACGAACUAUUGCAUUGACAUCCUGCCCCCUGUACUAAAGCUGCUUCCGCAGUCUCCAUGACCAUUCUUAACCUUUUUUGUCUCUGGGGGGAUUUGUCAUAUAAUUACUAUGUCCUCUGAUGUUUUACCAAACUGUGUUGCUUAUAGGUGAUUUUAUUUUCCUUAUGGAUGGGAAAAACAGAAAAUGAGAGACAUCUUUGAGGCUUUAGUCAAAGACAUCACUCAAAAGUUCCAAACACUAGUUAACUUGUUUCUCAAUAGGAAAAAAAUCUUAGUUUGGAUAGACAAUGAUUCUGAGGCCCUCCUGAAUAACCCUGCACUUUAGAAGACAACACCCUGGGGCAGAGCUGGCAGUGAGGCUACAAAAGAGGGGGUGGUGGUGAGGAAGGGACUAGAACAUCAUCUCGGAUGUUUGUCCCACACUACAGGAGCUGCAGCUCUUCUUGACAGGCACUUGGCCAUUUCAGGGCAACGUAAGGCUCUGUCCAGUGUUACAGCAGCAGGGCUGCAUGUUUCAGAGAACAUUUAUCUUAGCCCACAUUUGGGUGAGAAGACACCAAAGGUAUAUUCUGCCCAGAAUAUUGGAAUAAUGUCUAAAUUGGCUUCUGUAGCUAUUUAUACAUGAUAUAAUUUGUCUCCAUUCAGCUCUCUCCCAAUGAUGGGCAUGUUUUCCCAACAGUUUCCAUCAAGUCCAGGAUUGGCCCACUCAUUAUUACCAGGCUUGCGAUUGGUUUGGUUUUGGUUUUUGGUUUUUUGGGUUUUUUUUAAAUUAUUAUUAAAAACAUGCUUAUCCAAAAAAUAAAAAAAUAAAG